rnacentral:rRNA from 1 species
GACGAACGCUGGCGGCGUGCUUAACACAUGCAAGUCGAACGAUGAACCCGGAGCUUGCUCCGGCGGAUUAGUGGCGAACGGGUGAGUAACACGUGAGUAACCUGCCCUUGACUCUGGGAUAACUGCUAGAAAUGGUAGCUAAUACCGGAUACGACCCUCGGUGGCAUCACCAGGGGGUGGAAAGAAUUCCGGUCAAGGAUGGACUCGCGGCCUAUCAGCUAGUUGGUGAGGUAACGGCUCACCAAGGCGACGACGGGUAGCCGGCCUGAGGGGGUGACCGGCCACACUGGGACUGAGACACGGCCCAGACUCCUACGGGAGGCAGCAGUGGGGAAUAUUGCACAAUGGGCGCAAGCCUGAUGCAGCAACGCCGCGUGAGGGAUGACGGCCUUCGGGUUGUAAACCUCUUUUAGUAGGGAAGAAGCGAAAGUGACGGUACCUGCAGAAAAAGCACCGGCUAACUACGUGCCAGCCGCCGCGGUAA